rnacentral:rRNA from 1 species
CAGCAGCCGCGGGAAUACGAAGGGGGCUAGCGUUGCUCGGAAUGACUGGGCGUAAAGGGCGCGUAGGCGGAUGGCACAGUCAGAUGUGAAAUUCCCGGGCUUAACCUGGGGGCUGCAUUUGAUACGUGUUGUCUAGAGUGAGGAAGAGGGUCGUGGAAUUCCCAAUGUAGAGGUGAAAUUCGUAGAUAUUGGGAAGAACACCGGUGGCGAAGGCGGCGACCUGGUCCUUAACUGACGCUGAGGCGCGAAAGCGUGGGGAGCAAACAGGAUUAGAUACCCCAGUAGUCCCUGUCUCUUAUAC